AGAGUUUGAUCAUGGCUCAGGAUGAACGCUAGCUACAGGCUUAACACAUGCAAGUCGAGGGGCAGCAUGGUCUUAGCUUGCUAAGGCCGAUGGCGACCGGCGCACGGGUGAGUAACGCGUAUCCAACCUUCCCCUUAGUAGGGCAUAGCCCGUAGAAAUGCGGAUUAAUACCCUAUGUUGUCAGUAGAGGACAUCUGAAGUUGACCAAAGGUUCACCGCUAAGGGAUGGGGAUGCGUCCGAUUAGGCAGUCGGCGGGGUAACGGCCCACCGAGCCGUCGAUCGGUAGGGGUUCUGAGAGGAAGGUCCCCCACACUGGUACUGAGACACGGACCAGACUCCUACGGGAGGCAGCAGUGAGGAAUAUUGGUCAAUGGGCGUAAGCCUGAACCAGCCAAGUAGCGUGCAGGACGACGGCCCUACGGGUUGUAAACUGCUUUUAUGCGGGGAUAACCGGCGCCACGCGUGGCGCCCUGCAGGUACCGCAUGAAUAAGGACCGGCUAAUUCCGUGCCAGCCGCCGC
rnacentral:rRNA from 1 species